CUAGACUAAUUUGUUUUCCUACCCAUUUGCUCUGUCUCGGCAUCCUCACUUCUCCUGUAAGCUCAAUCACUCAACUCACAUUUGAGGAAAGGUUCUCCAAUUCUUUCAACUCCAACCACUACUUUUGUCAAGCCACAGAUCCUUUGACUCCUCUGACCACCUCUUCCUUUACUGUAGGUAUAGGCUACCUUUUCUCUGUCUGCCUAUUCUCAUCUUUCCUUCUACAUCUUAUCCCAUUGCUCUGCUGUGGACAUGACGGGAAAUUGAAGUCGGUAACAAAAAUUUAGUUACACCAUAGACAAGCCAGAAAAUUAUUGUCUAUUUUUUUUUUUUGGCCUUUUGUGUUUCAAAAAACUGUCGUCACUCGUGAGGAAAAUCCUUAAUCUCUCCCAUUUUCUUCCUGGGCUGCUUCAAUUUUUCUACACUUUCGGCCAAUAUACAUGCUUUAUGUAUUUUGAAGAUAUAUAUUAUCUUAAAGAGCUGAAAGGCGUCAUCAUUGUUUGAAUCUAUGGAACAACUUGUGAACUUCAUCAUCUAGCCACCAAGGGAUCAAGGAUUGAUGUUGAAUUAUGGUGAAGAGAAGGAGAAAUGAUAUGUAUUCUUUUAGAAGAAAGAGACAGAAUAAUCAACCUCAAACUAUAGGACUUGCUGAGUUGCUGCCAUCGACAUUGCUAGAGCAAGGAACCAAAGAGUCCUCUACAUAAGCUCAGUGAUGUAGAAGGAAUAAUUGAACUCAACAAUGGUGACCUAGAACUAAUGAAGAUGGGAUUGGUGGUGCUUAAUAUGUUUAAAGCAUCGAGUCCCUGCAGACCCACAAGCACAGCGGUGAUGAUGAAGAAGAAUAACAACUGAACUAACACCACAUGGAGUUGAGAUUAGUGCUGGAUAUCCACAAUCUUUGGAAGCAGUAAACUGAACGGAGUUAAAGAUGAAGAGAAAGAAUGAGAGUUCAGAUGAUCUUUCCACAAAGAGCUCAGAUCUUUUUGUACUUGAGAGACUUAUUAUUCAACUAGAGUCCAGCCAAAAGAAGUGCAAUGUACUAGCAGGGACAUCUCACCCGUAGAUUUCGAGCUGCCUUCUGUCAUUAUUUAAAUUGAAACUAAUGUAUGCUUACAGCUAGCAAUAUAUAUAUAUAUAUAUAUAUAUAUCCAUUGAUAGGAUGUCUUUUUAAAGGAUGGCGAUAUGGAAGGACACCUUGAGUAUUGUGUAAUGAAAUCUACAACCUACGCAUUGAUUUUUUGCUUUUCCUAUAUCAUAAAUAAUAUGAUAGCAUGUAAUAUAUUAAGGUUACAUAGUUUAUCCAUCAGUUAGUUUCUAUUGCACAGUAAUAUUUUUCUGUUUGCUUUUUAAAAAAGGUCCCAUCAGCCUAUUUUGCCCUCUUUCAUGGUUUGUAUUUGGUACACAGGACUUAACUCAUUACAUUGUAUCAAUGGAUGGGCUGAUCUCACAUGUUCUCUUGCCUAUUUUGACCAGGACAUGCUUUAAAAUUACACUGAUAUUCUUGCAUGUUCCUACCUCGAUUCCAUUGAUGCAUUGCUGGAUCUGUUUUCUUCUUUCAGUUUGUUCUUUACAAUAUUUGUCUGUUGUUUUGAUUGGCAUCAUGACUCGUGACACAAAAGUUCCUCUUCAGCUUUGUUUGGUGAUAGAAAUAGGCAAGCUGCUUUUUGUAAGCCAUUAAAGAAAAAUGAGAAAGACUAAAAGAAUGCUGUGUGAGUAUGGUGGCUAUACUAUUCCCUGUUACAAUAAUAGUUUUUUAUUCCUAUAAAUAAAUUAGCUUGAGCAAGUUUAUAGGAUGAGUUAGUCACGAGCCUUUGCAGAGUUGUUUUACAGUAUUCUAGAUUCUACAAUUUAGUUGUUUAUCUUUGGAGAAUAAUUUUAUUCUAUGGA